GUGAAGGUCAUGGGCCGGACUGGGUCUAGGGGACAGGUUACUCAAGUGAGAGUCAAGUUCUUGGAUGAUCAGAAUCGUUUCAUCAUGAGGAAUGUCAAGGGACCAGUGAGGGAGGGAGAUAUCCUUACCUUGCUUGAGUCUGAGAGGGAAGCCAGAAGGUUGCGGUGAUUUUAUGUUGGUCUCCUACCUCUGUUUUGUUGAAGUGCGCACGACUGUUAUUUCUGUUGGUCUAUGGCAGUUGUGCUGUUGUUGGUGUUACUUUAUGAUAUUUCUUGCCGUUAGUAGCAACGUCUGAGACUUAUUUUGUCAUGAAAUUUCU
rnacentral:lncRNA from 1 species